UAAAAUAGAUAAUCUUAAAUUGUUAUUCUUGUGAAACAAUUUAAUUUAUAUGUAUUUUGUUUUAUUUAUAUUUAUACGUAUAUUUGUAACUUUUUUAAAUGUUUCUAAUUUAUUAAUUAAAUUUAUUACGUAAAUUCCUUACCUUGUUUUCCAUAAUCUAGGUAACGCAGUGUUGAUAGAAUAAUCUCAUUAAUGGAAAAUAAUCACAAUUGAUUUACAACAAAAGGUAACAGAAAAUGGCUAUAACUAGCAAUGUGUAAGUAAAAACCGCAAAAGUAGAACUUAUCUUGCGGCCAUGUAACGUAUCCGCGUAAACACACGCACACACAAAGGCACACACACAAAGGCACACACACGCGUAAGGCAUAAAAGAAAACGUAUUCUUCCUUUUGGACAUUGAAACUGAACCUGAGUUAUCGCGAGCAUUUUUGCUUAGCUCGUAGUGGACUCGAAAGUGGCCGUAAAUAAUCGUCAGAAGGACGUAAUAAAUACCGAGAGUUUCAGGGUAAGUAAACUUACGAGGUCGGAUGGUGAACGGAAAUUCCAUGCUCGUCGCUUCCGCCUUCCAUUUCAGCGCCCUUCUCCACUGCUAAAAUGGGAUCCUUCGAUUGGAAAGCUCCGUACGUGCUGCCAUUCCUGACGAAUAAACGUUAAAUACACAUAUUACCGUUGCAACACUCGUUACAUCAUUGCAGAAAAAAAUAUAACACGAAGUAGGAAUUUGAAAAUAAAAUUGUCAAACCAGUCGAUUCGACUUGUGUGGUAGUUCUAGUGUUAAUAAUACCAACGAAUAUUAAGAUAAGCAUUAAAAGUUAGCGAGGAAGUUUCCAUAUUUGAAAACGGUAAUUUGGAAACUCGAUAUCAACGCGAUUAUUAUUAAUCGCAUUAAUAAAUUGUAGUAAUUAUUCCCGUGAAUUCCCUCAGUUAUGUAAAAAAUUCUAUCAAAGAAUUUACAACUCCUAAUAGAGUCGAUGAUACGAAUAGUAUGAAAUGUGAACAAGAGAAAAGUGUAUUCUCCUACAAGAUCCACAGGUAUUUUCAGUUUUAGAAAACUAAAUGAACUUUAAUCGCCGAGAAAUAUACUUUGAUUGAUCGACGUUGAUAAUUUCUUUUCGGCUAUAUUAUAAUAUUAAUAAUCGAUGAUCUUGAAGUUUGAACUUCUGCAACCACUGACACACGUGGUUGCAUUUUAAAAUAUCAGUAUCGCUGAUACCUUUUGCACGAAGCAUUUAAAUCAAGAAUAAAGAGAAGACGAUUUCUACUUCAGCGUUUUAAGUUUAAAAAAAAAGAAAACGGUGUUGAAUAUACGCUUUAUCAGUUGCAAUUAUGUUCACGAUCAUGUUGCGAGUAAUACCGCGAAUAAAAUAAUAAACAACGCGAUGCUCACGUAUUAAAUAUUCCAUGCAACACUAAUCGUGUAAUAUUAAAUGACGUAUCUGACAGCUGUGUCAUGCAUUUCCCAUGCCAAAGCGUUCUAUGACGUGUCAGACACGUCAUUUCACUGUAACCAGUUGAUUACUGUUCUCUUCGUACGAACAAUCCAAUAGAAUCAAGUAUUAUUUACACGAUAAACAUGUUUCAAUUUAAUCGUAGAAAAUUGUAACG